rnacentral:rRNA from 1 species
GUGCUUAACACAUGCAAGUCGCACGAGAACGCUUCAGCUUGCUGAAGUUAGUAAAGUGGCGCACGGGUGAGUAUCGCGUGGGUAAUCUACCCUCGAAUUGGGGAUAACAUCGCGAAAGCGAUGCUAAUACCGGAUAAUAUCUUAAAACCUCGGUUUUAAAGAUCAAAGGUGGCCUCUACAUGUAAGCUUCUGUUUGGGGAUGAGCCCGCGUACCAUUAGCUUGUUGGUAGGGUAAUGGCCUACCAAGGCGACGAUGGUUAGCUGGUCUGAGAGGAUGAUCAGCCACACUGGAACUGACACACGGUCCAGACUCCUACGGGAGGCAGCAGUGAGGAAUUUUGCGCAAUGGGGGAAACCCUGACGCAGCAACGCCGCGUGAGUGAUGAAGGCUUUCGGGUCGUAAAGCUCUGUCAAGUGGGAAGAACCCACGUGGUGAUAAUACCACCAUGUGCUGACGGUACCACUGAAGGAAGCACCGGCUAACUCCGUG